rnacentral:rRNA from 1 species
UACGUAGGGGGCAAGCGUUAUCCGGAUUUACUGGGUGUAAAGGGGGCGCAGACGGCGAUGCAAGCCAGGAGUGAAAGCCCGGGGCCCAACCCCGGGACUGCUCUUGGAACUGCGUGGCUGGAGUGCAGGAGGGGCAGGCGGAAUUCCUGAUGUAGCGGUGAAAUGCGUAGAUAUUAGGAGGAACACCAGUGGCGAAGGCGGCUUACUGGACUGUAACUGACGUUGAGGCUCGAAAGCGUGGGGAGCAAACAGG